rnacentral:rRNA from 8 species
GUGGGUAGUUUGACUGGGGCGGUCUCCUCCUAAAGAGUAACGGAGGAGCACGAAGGUUGGCUAAUCCUGGUCGGACAUCAGGAGGUUAGUGCAAUGGCAUAAGCCAGCUUGACUGCGAGCGUGACGGCGCGAGCAGGUGCGAAAGCAGGUCAUAGUGAUCCGGUGGUUCUGAAUGGAAGGGCCAUCGCUCAACGGAUAAAAGGUACUCCGGGGAUAACAGGCUGAUACCGCCCAAGAGUUCAUAUCGACGGCGGUGUUUGGCACCUCGAUGUCGGCUCAUCACAUCCUGGGGCUGAAGUAGGUCCCAAGGGUAUGGCUGUUCGCCAUUUAAAGUGGUACGCGAGCUGGGUUUAGAACGUCGUGAGACAGUUCGGUCCCUAUCUGCCGUGGGCGCUGGAGAACUGAGGGGGGCUGCUCCUAGUACGAGAGGACCGGAGUGGACGCAUCACUGGUGUUCGGGUUGUCAUGCCAAUGGCACUGCCCGGUAGCUAAAUGCGGAAGAGAUAAGUGCUGAAAGCAUCUAAGCACGAAACUUGCCCCGAGAUGAGUUCUCCCUGAGACUUUAGGUCUCCUGAAGGAACGUUGAAGACGACGACGUUGAUAGGCCGGGUGUGUAAGCGCAGCGAUGCGUUGAGCUAACCGGUACUAAUGAACCGUGAGGCUUAACCUUACAACGCCGAA